ACGCUCGACACCUACGGGGCAGCAGUUGGGAAUAUUGGACAAUGGAGGAAACUCUGAUCCAGUGACGCCGCGUGAAGGAAGAAGGUCUUCGGAUUGUAAACUUAUUUUGUCAGGGAAGAAAAAAUGACUGUACCUGAAGAAAAAGCACCGGCUAACUACGUGUCAGCAGCCGCGGUAAUCUGAGCGGGCUGGCAAGGC
rnacentral:rRNA from 1 species